UUCUUCAUGUGUUAGAAGAGAUGCCCAGGGGGGAAAAGCAAACUCUCAAUGUCUCCUUAUUUAUCCUGUUUUCAGAUUUACUUCCCCGAACAAUAUGUCUGUGCGAUGUCACAGAGCACGGACACAUCGCCUGACGUCCUCAGAGAUGGUCUAGAAUGGUUAUAUGUUGUACAAAAUGUUCUCGGUGGUGUUCAUUCAAACACUGAAAAAGAGUGAUACUCUCAAACGUAUGCAUUAUGCUCUUUUUACAUACGAUAGACGCUGGCCUGGCCACCAAAACGACAUCAAAUUGACCUUGUGCAGAUUCUUGCGCCACAUAUUACUCUCAGGUUUACCUGAGACCAUAGGGGACACAGUCUUGGAGAAACAUGCAAAUGGUCAUCAGAGGAAAAAGCGGAUACACAGUUGAGAGUGCUUGCAGAAGAGGAGAAACACAUUUGGACAGGAUUCAUGUGGACCUGAUGAGCGAUGAGGAGAAUGGCCUGCAAAACCGCAAACCAGUAUGAUUCAUCAAGCCCCAGUACUUCCGGAGUGAGGUGUUCACUGCCCUUUGUCAUGAACUACAGAGCUGCUUGAAGAGGGACCAGAGGUACUUGGGAAGGCACACCGCACUGAUCAUUUCUGGGGAUUUUUCAUCAACGCAACCUAUCAACACUAUAGUAACUCCAAUGGAGGCUCGCACUGGGCCAAGCUGGAUGACUCCUGUCGGUAAAUUUUCUUGAUUAUUUUGAAAACCCUUUUGUGUAUCUUAGAAUUUUGAAUAGACUUGUGCAUAUU